UACGGAGGGUGCAAACGUUGCUCGGAAUCAUUGGGCGUAAAGCGCACGUAGGCGGCUCAGUAAGUCGGGUGUGAAAGCCCUCGGCUCAACCGAGGAAGUGCAUUCGAAACUACUGAGCUUGAAUACUGGAGAGGAUCGCGGAAUUCCCGGUGUAGAGGUGAAAUUCGUAGAUAUCGGGAGGAACACCAGUGGCGAAGGCGGCGAUCUGGACAGAUAUUGACGCUGAGGUGCGAAAGCGUGGGGAGCAAAC
rnacentral:rRNA from 1 species